CCCUUUGGGGCGCAGCAGGCGCGAAAACUCUACAAUGCAGGCAACUGCGAUAGGGGAACAUCGAGUGAUACUCAUAUUGGGUGUCUGUCCCACCGUCUAAAAAACGGUGGUUAGCAAGGGCCGGGCAAGACCGGUGCCAGCCGCCGCGGUAAUACCGGCGGCCCGAGUGGUGAUUGUGAUUAUUGGGUCUAAAGGGUCCGUAGCCGGUUUGGUCAGUCCUCCGGGAAAUCUGACAGCUCAACUGUUAGGCUUUCGGGGGAUACUGCCAGACUUGGAACCGGGAGAGGUAAGAGGUACUACAGGGGUAGGAGUGAAAUCCUGUAAUCCA
rnacentral:rRNA from 1 species